rnacentral:rRNA from 1 species
UACGGAGGGUGCAAGCGUUAUCCGGAUUCACUGGGUUUAAAGGGUGCGUAGGCGGGUAGGUAAGUCAGUGGUGAAAUCUCGAAGCUUAACUUCGAAACUGCCAUUGAUACUAUUUAUCUUGAAUAUUGUGGAGGUUUGCGGAAUAUGUCAUGUAGCGGUGAAAUGCAUAGAUAUGACAUAGAACACCUAUUGCGAAGGCAGCAGGCUACACAUAUAUUGACGCUGAGGCACGAAAGCGUGGGGAUCAAACAGG